AUUGAACGCUGGCGGCAUGCCUUACACAUGCAAGUCGAACGGCAGCACGGGGCAACCUGGUGGCGAGUGGCGAACGGGUGAGUAAUGCAUCGGAACGUACCUUUCAGUGGGGGAUAACGUAGCGAAAGUUACGCUAAUACCGCAUAUUCUGUGAGCAGGAAAGCAGGGGAUCGCAAGACCUUGCGCUGAUUGAGCGGCCGAUGUCAGAUUAGCUGGUUGGUGAGGUAAGGGCUCACCAAGGCGACGAUCUGUAGCGGGUCUGAGAGGAUGAUCCGCCACACUGGAACUGAGACACGGUCCAGACUCCUACGGGAGGCAGCAGUGGGGAAUUUUGGACAAUGGGGGCAACCCUGAUCCAGCCAUGCCGCGUGAGUGAAGAAGGCCUUCGGGUUGUAAAGCUCUUUCAGCCGGGAAGAAAUCGCAUUGGUUAAUACCUGAUGUGGAUGACGGUACCGGAAUAAGAAGCACCGGCUAACUACGUGCCAGCCGCCGCGGUAACAC
rnacentral:rRNA from 1 species